UUUGUUUUUGGCUGGCCGUGCAGCUUGAAUGAUUUUAGUUCCAGGACCAGAGAUUGAAACUGUGCCCCCUGCAGUGGAAGCAUGGAGUUCUAAUCACUGGACCACCAGAGAAUUACGGAAUGUGAUCUACCCGAAGACUAGGAUUUUGAUGGUGUUGCCCACUGUCUGUACGUUACAAAAUGCUAGAGCCCCAGGAAUAUGUGGGCACCCUUCACCACGAUGCUAUAUUCGCACUUAGUCCAGUUGCUAGAGAAGCUGAAAGAGGGGAAGGCAGAAACUAGAGGAUUCCAGAGGCCUGGCUGCUACUCCAACAACAAGAUCAAUCAGCAGGCUGGUGACAAAGUGCGUGAGCUACAAUAGCUACCAAACUCACACUCACCUGUCAAGGAUAAGCUCAGGUGCGGCUGCCUGCCAUCUUUCAAGUUAUAUGCAUGUUCCAUUUGUGGCCAAUUCUAGCUUGUAACCUUCCAAAUUCACCAACAUGGAGGACAAAGGUGGGGAAUGUAGUUUCAGCUUAGCUAACUUGACAUAGAAAGUCACUGUAUUUUGUUAAAUUUUGCAGUUUUAAUGUAAUUGUGCUUUAAAUUGUGGACUUCAGUUUAAUAAUAAAACUUCAGGAAGCUGUGGCAUGUUAUCUCAUGCUUUUUAAUACAUCUUAGAAUGUUACUCAGGCUAUAAGAUCUCCAGUAGGAGGGCAUGGCAACGCA